GUCCACGCGAGAUCACAAAAUCACAGGAAAUCACAGGAGAAGUGGAGAAUCUUAUGAUUCUCUACUUAUAGGAUAAACGUCCCGUCAUCUAUG